rnacentral:rRNA from 1 species
GCGCAGCAGUCGAGAAUUUUUCUCAAUGGGGGAAACCCUGAAGGAGCGACGCCGCGUGGAGGAUGAAGGCUUUCGGGUUGUAAACUCCUGUCAUUUGAGAACAAGUGGCCGAACGUAACUACUUCGGCCUUGAUAGUAUCAGAAGAGGAAGGGACGGCUAACUCUGUGCCAGCAGCCGCGGUAAUACAGAGGUCUCAAGCGUUGUUCGGAUUCAUUGGGCGUAAAGGGUGCGUAGGUGGCGCCGUAAGUCGGGUGUGAAAUUUCGGAGCUUAACUCCGAAGCUGCAUUCGAUACUGCGGUGCUUGAGGACUGGAGAGGAGACUGGAAUUUACGGUGUAGCAGUGAAAUGCGUAGAGAUCGUAAGGAAGACCAGUGGCGAAGGCGGGUCUCUGGACAGUUCCUGACACUGAGGCACGAAGGCCAGGGGAGCAAACGGGAUUAGAUACCCGUGUAGU